GAUGAACGCUAGCUACAGGCUUAACACAUGCAAGUCGAGGGGAAACGAUAGAGAAAGCUUGCUUUUUCUAGGCGUCGACCGGCGCACGGGUGAGUAACGCGUAUCCAACCUGCCCAUCACUUGGGGAUAACCUUGCGAAAGUAAGACUAACACCCAAUGACGUCCCUAGAAGACAUCUGAAAGGGAUUAAAGAUUUAUCGGUGAUGGAUGGGGAUGCGUCUGAUUAGCUUGUUGGCGGGGUAACGGCCCACCAAGGCGACGAUCAGUAGGGGUUCUGAGAGGAAGGUCCCCCACAUUGGAACUGAGACACGGUCCAAACUCCUACGGGAGGCAGCAGUGAGGAAUAUUGGUCAAUGGGCGAGAGCCUGAACCAGCCAAGUAGCGUGCAGGAUGACGGCCCUAUGGGUUGUAAACUGCUUUUAUAAGGGAAUAAAGUGAGCCUCGUGAGGCUUUUUGCAUGUACCUUAUGAAUAAGGACCGGCUAAUUCCGUGCCAGCCGCCGCAGUAA
rnacentral:rRNA from 1 species